AUUGAACGCUGGCGGCAGGCCUAACACAUGCAAGUCGAACGGAGUGGCGGACGGGUGAGUAAUGUCUGGGAAACUGCCUGAUGGAGGGGGAUAACUACUGGAAACGGUAGCUAAUACCGCAUACUAUCAGAUGAGCCUAGGUCGGAUUAGCUAGUUGGUGAGGUAAUGGCUCACCAAGGCUACGAUCCGUAACUGGUCUGAGAGGAUGAUCAGUCACACUGGAACUGAGACACGGUCCAGACUCCUACGGGAGGCAGCAGUGGGGAAUAUUGGACAAUGGGCGAAAGCCUGAUCCAGCCAUGCCGUGUGUGUGAAGAAGGUCUUCGGAUUGUAAAGCACUUUAAGUUGGGAGGCGUUACCGACAGAAUAAGCACCGGCUAACUCUGUGCCAGCAGCCGCGGUAAUAC
rnacentral:rRNA from 1 species